AACACAUCCAGGAAUAGUGACUCAACCACCUGCCUGGGCAGCCCAUUCCAGUGCUUAACAGCCCUUUCUGCAUAAAAGUUUGUCCUGAUAUUCAACCUAAACUUACCCCACAUAUGCAUGUUCCGUGGAACCCCACAGAUGUGACAAUGGGGUCUGGCUUCUGGGGUGCUUCUCAAAGGAAACCAGUGCACGGUGUCAGGAGUGGAGGAGGAAGCAACUGAUCGUGCCACUAAUGCUGCCGUUCUGCGUCUCUCCCCAGUUAUCCUCAGGGUACUCAGCUUCCUGAGCUUGAAGAUGGGAAUGGGGGAAGAGAAUAAAGAUCCUGCAGUUCAGAAGGAAACAGUUAGUGACCUGCUACAUCAUGUAGACUAUCACAAAUCUAUGGGGUCAGGUGGGUUCCAAGAAAAGGUACUAACAGAACCGGUGGAAGUGCUCACCAAGCCACCUUCCAUCAUGUACCUGCUCAACUGGAGAGGUCUCAGACAGCUGGAGAAUUGCCACUGUCACAUCAUUAUACAAGAAGGUUCCACAGGAGGAUCUACAGGUCUCUCAGCCUAAGUAUUGCAGAAGGUUAUGGAGCAGAUAAUCUUGAGUGCAAUCAAACAUUAUAUACAAGAAAACCAGGGGAUCAGACCUAGCUAGCAUGAGUUUAUGAUCAUACUAUCUGCUCUGUUUGAUGAGUUGCCUAUUGGAAAAUGGAGCCACCAAUUUUACUGGGGAAAUAAAAAACAAAAAACAACCACAUUUAUGAUUUUUUUCCCUUGCAACUCACAUACUCAUUCCUGUACAGUCAAGGUAGGCUUUCCAUCCAACUUCCCAUAUCCUGUCCAUGAUCACACAGGUAAAACCACAGGAUGAUACAUAUAAAUAUGUACCCACUAUAUCCACUCUCCCUUGCAAAGGAACCAGCACAAGCCAUUGAACCAUUUUCUCCACAGCUGAGAUACAGAAGCAUAGGAGGAAGAGAGACAAUCUCCAUACUGACGAAGUAGGCUAGCCACUUCAUCCACCACUGCUCUUUCCAGUUCAUUCCUGCCAGGGAAUAGAAGUAGAAGCAACUGCAGGGCCCAUUGCAGGAGUGGGAGCAGCCACAGGGCUCACUGAAAGGACUGUAGUGACAACAAGGCUCAUCACAGUGUUUAGAGUAGCCACAGGACCCAUAACAGGAGAGCAACCACAGGGCUCAUUAUGAGAGUUGGAGUGACAGCAGAAUCUGUCACAAUGCUUGCAGCAACUGCUGUUGAUUGAACCUGUUAAUUGAACUGUAGCCGCUGCAGGAUCUAUCACAGGAGCUGGGGAGUCAAUUGCAUUGUCAUCAGAUCAAGAGAUAUUGCCUUCCCCUUGAAAAUGCUGAAUAGUGUUGAACAGAGCUCAGGAGCCAAACAUAGGUCAGGCCCCAGCUGCUGCAAUGAUUUGUGCCUCUUUGGGAUUGCCAAGAUGACAACUGUCCAAAUAUUCUAUUAGAUUUUCAGUAUUCUGCAGUUGUUCAGAGGUGAAGUUCAAAACCUCUAGGGGUGAGUACCACCCUAAGUACCAGCCCAUGCCAUUCCACAGUCCCUGCCACUCAGAACUAUCCCUCCUCAGUGCAGAUUUCUGGGCAAUAUUCUUAAGUAAUAGUUCCUUCUUAAACAUAAUCUAAAACACAUUCACAACUAGCAUGGUUUUAUUUUUGUUAUUGGUAUUCCACAUCAUAACAUCAUGUAGUAUUCAUGUUCCAUUUUUGUAGUAUGUCUAUGUUUCUGAAUACAUGGUUCCCAGAAGAGAAUAACUACA